UCCCCCAUCUCUACAGGACACUGUUUUCUCUUUUCCAGUGAACCCCAUGCUCGUUUCUAUGCAGCUCAGAUCGUGCUAACAUUUGAGUACCUCCAUUCCCUCGACCUCAUCUACAGAGAUCUCAAGCCGGAAAACCUCUUAAUUGACCACCAGGGUUACAUCCAGGUAGGAUUGGAUCACAUGGCAUCUAUGCAUCUGGGAAACACUGAAAUAGCUUCACACAUUGUACCUCAAAUGUCAGUGUUUGAUGGGUUUGGUUGCUUGGUUGGUUGGUUUGAAGUAGAAAAUUGGUUCUAUCUAAAAGGCUGAAGUGAAUUCCCAGCUUUGCAGGUGAGCACGUCCCACAUGAAGGCAGGAGCCCACAGGUAUCUUCUAGAGUCAGUGGCUGUGAACUAAGUUUAGGUUCCUGCCCAAAGAAACAAUAUGACUAAAUGUGUGAGCUGUCAUGGGUACUAGGAGUCCUGUUUGUGUAGUUUGAGCACCUCUCAACCUGAAAAUCAAAAUCAAAAUGAUUCCUAUGUGAAAUUCAUUUGUAUAUUGACGUGACACCGCAAAUGGAGAGUUACUCAGGUGACUUCAUGUGACAGGCACCCUGAUAACAGUGUUUGUGACUCCUCCAGGCUGUGACUGCAGUGUCUACGACACAGGAAUUCUGUGUCCAGCCCUCACUGGGACCUCAAUCCUUGUUAGGAAUUAUUAAAAAAAAAAAAAAAAA
rnacentral:lncRNA from 1 species